rnacentral:lncRNA from 1 species
UGGCAGAAAGUAGGUGGCCACUUGCACUGAGGAUGUGACGGGGGCGGUGGCGGCAGGUCAGAGGGCAGGUGGUUGGAGGCCCUAGGUGCGGCGUACCUAGGGUUUUGUUUAUUUUUUCUGUUUUAUGUUAUUGGGUUUAGUGGGCUGCUAGGGUUAGGUAUUUGGGUAGUGGGAUUGUUUGGGCUUUGGGUCUGUUUUGGGUCUAUUUUGGGUUAUGGGUUGUAAUUGGGUUGAGG